rnacentral:misc_RNA from 1 species
GAUGAAGAACGCAGCGAAAUGCGAUACGUAAUGUGAAUUGCAAAUUCAGUGAAUCAUCGAGUCUUUGAACGCACAUUGCGCCCCCUGGUAUUCCGGGGGGCAUGCCUGUCCGAGCGUCAUUGCUGCCCUCACGCACGGCUUGUGUGUUGGGCCCCGUCCUCCGAUCCCGGGGGACGGGCCCGAAAGGCAGCGGCGGCACCGCGUCCGGUCCUCGAGCGUAUGGGGCUUUGUCACCCGCUCUGUAGGCCCGGCCGGCGCUUGCCGAUCAACCCAAAUUUUUUAUCCAGGUUGACCUCGGAUCAGGUAGGGAUACCCGCUGAACUUAAGCAUAUCAAUAAGCGGAGGA